AGACUUGCCUGGCAGGGGAGACAUCAGGGUCACGAAGGAGAUUUUCCCAGGGCGGGGUCCAUCCAUUGCACCAGGGACCUACUAACCCCUGCGAUUUCCCCACGGGGGCGGGGGGGGGGGCGGGGACCUCUACCUCCUAAUCUGUGUUCCUGGCGGGUUGUGUUCGCACUUUCCCCCG
rnacentral:snRNA from 1 species